rnacentral:rRNA from 1 species
AAAGGUACGCCGGGGAUAACAGGCUGAUCUUGCCCAAGAGUUCAUAUCGACGGCAAGGUUUGGCACCUCGAUGUCGGUUCAUCGCAUCCUGGGGCUGAAGAAGGUCCCAAGGGUUUGGCUGUUCGCCAAUUAAAGCGGUACGUGAACUGGGUUCAGAACGUCGUGAGACAGUUCGGUCCCUAUCCUAUGCGGGCGCAGGAUACUUGAGAAGAGUCGCUUCUAGUACGAGAGGACCGAAGUGAACGUAUCUCUAGUGAAUCAAUUGUUACGCCAGUAGCAUUGUUGAGUAGCUAUAUACGGAUGUGAUAAGCGCUGAAAGCAUCUAAGUGCGAAGCACACUUCAAGAUGAGGUAUCCCGUCGCAAGACCUAAAGACUCCUAGGAGAUUACUAGGUUGAUAGGUUACAGAUGUAAGCAUAGUAAUAUGUUUAGUCGAGUAAUACUAAUAAGUCGUGCGACUUAGCCAUUAUUUUUU